rnacentral:rRNA from 1 species
GACGAACGCUGACGGCGGGCUUAACACAUGCAAGUCGAAGGGAGUGGCGAACGGGUGAGUAACACGUGAGUAACCUGCACUUAUCUUUGGGAUAAGCCUGGGCAACUGGGUCUAAUACUGGAUGGAUUGGGAUGGGCUCGCGGCUUAUCAGCUUGUUGGUGGGGUGAUGGCUUACCAAGGCUUUGACGGGUAGCCGGCCUGAGAGGGUGGUCUGUACCAGUGGGACGGAGAUACCGCCGAGACUACGCCGGGGGGCUGCAGUGUGGGAUAUUGCACAAUGGACGAAAGACUGAUGCAGCGACGUCGUGUGGGGGAUUAGGGUCUUCGGGUUGUAACCUCCUUUCGCCCGCGGAAUGGUAGUGGGUAAAGAAGCGCCGGCUAACUACGUGCCAGCAGCCGCGGUAAUAC